rnacentral:lncRNA from 1 species
UCACCCAUCGUUAAAAAAAAAAAAAGAAAAAAAAUUAGACACAAUAGAUGAUGUGGAUAAUAGAUAUUCAUACGUGAUAAUUUUGAACGUUGAGUUUUUUACUUAAAAUUUUUUUUAAAAGCCAAUCGUAUGAAAAGUAGUGUGGCCUACUUGUAAAAAAAUAAUAGAAAAAUCAACAAAAUAACACUAUUUAUUUCAAAGUAAAUAGAGCUAUUGUUAUUUGUUUACUCAAAUGCAGAAAAAUAAAAAGGGAAGAAUUCACAAACCAUGUUUUAAGUAUGCACACUUCAAAAUUAAAGUGGUUAAGUUUAAUUAUGCAAAAAUCAGGUUUUUAUUUAAUUAAUUAAAAAUAUUUAAUAUUUAAAUAUAAUAAAAGUUACGGUUACACAAUUAUGGUCACAAAUCUCCAAUUAUAGGUCACAGAUUUUUUCUUGGUCACGAAUCAAAAUUUUGUUGGUCACAGAUUUUUUCGUGGUCACAAAUCAAAAAUUUUGUUGGUCAUAAAUUAUUUCGAGAUUGCAAAUCAAAAAUUUUAUAGGUCACAGUUUUCAUCGUUGGUUGCAAAUUAAAAAAUUAUAGGUCACAUAUUAUUUAUUAGUGACAUUUUUGAAUUUAUUGGUUACAAUUAUCAAAAUUUAAGAUCACAUUGAUCACAAGUCAAACAAUGGAUCACAUACCACAACCACCUGUCACCACCAACCUCACUCCGUCACUAUCACCGCCAUCACCACUUCCACCGCUAUGGCCAAAAUAGUCACCACCAGAUCCAAUCAAUUGCUAACAAAAAUCUAGCCAAUCAACUCUACCAGCUCUCCAACCACCAACCACCACCUCCACCUCCACCUCUGUUAAAAAACCACCACAACCGCCACCACCAAAUACAAUAACAAUACCUACGCACAAUCUCAUCAUCGUUUCCACCCAAAAUCACCAUUGCCAACAACCACCGCCACACACAGCCACUGUCAGGAGCACCACCACCACCAGAGCUACUGCACACGAACUGGCAGAACACCACAAAUCGAAAAAAAAUUCAACGACUCACUGCCUAACCAUACCAUGAGCAACACCACCGCAUAGGUGCACACACCACCACCCUCUGUCAAAUCCACCAACGAUCAAAACCAUGGAAAAAAUCAAGCAGAGCCGCCAGCAGCGAGCAGCGGCGUUCACACCAACUCGUUGAAGAAUUGUUCACAGCACAUAUACCUCGCAAACCAUCGACCACAGCAAAUCGUUGGAGAAACUAAUUGGACGAAUUUCAGAUCGGAGCUUUCGUCGUAGGCUCUGAUCUCUUCAUUCUUGUAGCAACGUGCUGGCGACGGCGAAGUGAAAUGAGGUUGAUCUCUGGAGGUGGAUACUCCAACGGCGACGACGGCAUAAUUUGAAUGAGGAAGAAGAUGAAAAGGGAGAGAGAGACUGUGAGUGUUAGAAUUGGAUGGGAAUAAAAUUAGGGUUCAUUAUAUUAUGUCAAAACCUGAUUUGUGCACAAUGAAACUUGGUCCUUAGCUUUUGAAUUGCGGUCUUUAAGUACCUAGUACCAUGUUAUUUUUCCAAAUAAAAAUAAUAUCGAUAUAUAAAUUAGAUGCAUA